rnacentral:rRNA from 1 species
CCUACGGGCGGCAGCAGUGAGGAAUAUUGGUCAAUGGGCGGGAGCCUGAACCAGCCAAGCCGCGUGAGGGAAGAAGGUACAGCGGAUCGUAAACCUCUUUUGUCAGGGAACAAAGGCGGGGACUAGUCCCCGGAUGAGGGUAACUGAAGAAAAAGCAACGGCCAACUCCGUGCCAGCAGCCGCGGUAAUACGGGGGAGGCGUGCGUUAUCCGGUUUUAUUGGGGUUAAAGGGUGCGCAGGCGGCCUGUUAAGUCAGCGGGAAAAGCCCGGGGCUCAACCCCGGCGAGCCGUUGAAAAUGGCGUGCUGGAGUUGGAGAGACGUACGCGGAAUGCGCGUUGUAGCGGUGAAAUGCUUAGCUAUCGCGCAGAACCCCGAUUGCGAAGGCAGCAUACCGGCUCCCCACUGACGCUGAGGCACGAAAGCGUGGGUAUCGAACAGGAUUAGAUACCCCAGUAGUC